rnacentral:rRNA from 1 species
UACGUAGGGUGCGAGCGUUGUCCGGAAUUAUUGGGCGUAAAGAGCUUGUAGGCGGUUUGUCGCGUCUGCUGUGAAAUCUCAAGGCUCAACCUUGAGCUUGCAGUGGGUACGGGCAGACUAGAGUGUGGUAGGGGAGAUCGGAAUUCCUGGUGUAGCGGUGGAAUGCGCAGAUAUCAGGAGGAACACCGGUGGCGAAGGCGGGAUCUCUGGGCCAUAACUGACGCUGAGGAGCGAAAGCAUGGGGAGCGAACAGGA